rnacentral:rRNA from 1 species
AAACCUGCGAAACUCGAAUGAACGAACGGAGAGAUUCAUCGUCGCUCGGCGGCGUACGGGCGUGCACCUCGAUGUCGUGCUUGCGUUACUUAUGUUUCGUAUUGUAUGACACGGGUCGCGUCCGUCGACGUUCGCCGAAGGCGUGCACUUCUCUCUUAGUAAUACAUCGCGACCCGUUCGAUGUCGGCAUAAGCGCUGUCCGGGAGUCCAAUUGUCGCGUUCGCGCGGCGGCUGGACCGUGACGGUUGCCUGCCGGCUGUCGGACGGUAGUACAAAAUCGUACAAUAUACGAAUCGCGCACGCGUCAUGAACGCGUCCGGCUCGACGCAAGCCUGCACCGUAUAAAGUCUCUGUCCUGCCAUAGUGCGGACAGUGGCACGGCGCUGCUGUUGUCGCUGCCGUGUUGUCUCGGACUGUGCGCGUAUCCGUCUGCGAUGAUUC